UCUGAGAACCAUGCUUUACACUCAUCCUUAGACAGUGGAUUUCUCACAGUGAAUUUGUGCAUCGUUUUCCCACAUUUUCAGGGCACAAAUUUUCCUCUCGCUCCUUGCUAACUGUAUACAGCGCCUAGUGAAGCAUUGCCUGCGGUUUUACUCCAUGUCAAUGACAUCAUCAUCCAGUGUGACCAAGUAUUAAGACACGGGAGCUACAUGUGGAGCUAUUUCCUGACUCCCAUUUCGUCAGUGAUAGGAGUUUGGCUGGCUGCCAAAUUGAGAUUAGAAACAUCUUAAGGAGGGCAGUACAUCUCAUGUGCACAAAAGUAUUCCCCACGAAGAUGCACUGAGGAAUCUAACAUUGUACAUGAUCGUACAAAACAUGAAGAACAAUAAAUAGGUGUAGAUUUUGAUUCGUCCAGAUUGAUAGUUUACUUAACUCAGGUUGACCAGUUUCAGAAUUUGUAUUACUAUUGCGGAGAACAGAUUAAUUGAUACGUGUUCACGAAUCGAAAGUUGCCUUCAAUGAAAUUCGAAACUGAGGUUAUGUCUCGUACUGAAAUAUGUGUAUUCGAAGGUAAGGUCCUUUCAUACCUGGCAAAUAAUUAAAGAUAUAGUGUAUGCCAUUUGCAUUUGUUGUCAUUUUUGAAAA